UACGUAGGGUGCAAGCGUUAUCCGGAAUUAUUGGGCGUAAAGAGCUCGUAGGCGGUUUGUCGCGUCUGCUGUGAAAACUGGAGGCUCAACCUCCGGCCUGCAGUGGGUACGGGCAGACUAGAGUGCGGUAGGGGGAGAUUGGAAUUCCUGGUGUAGCGGUGGAAUGCGCAGAUAUCAGGAGGAACACCGAUGGCGAAGGCAGAUCUCUGGGCCGUAACUGACGCUGAGGAGCGAAAGCAUGGGGAGCGAACAGG
rnacentral:rRNA from 1 species